UACAGAGGGGGCAAGCGUUGUUCGGAAUUACUGGGCGUAAAGGGCGCGUAGGCGGCCUUCUAAGUCGAACGUGAAAUCCCCGGGCUCAACCCGGGAACUGCGUCCGAUACUGGAAGGCUUGAAUCCGGGAGAGGGAUGCGGAAUUCCAGGUGUAGCGGUGAAAUGCGUAGAUAUCAGGAGGAACACCGGUGGCGAAGGCGGUUCUCUGGGCAUGAUCUGACGCUGAGGAGCGAAAGUGUGGGGAGCGAACAGG
rnacentral:rRNA from 1 species